UACAAGAUAGUGGGCUAGGCACCAGGAAUACAGCAGGAAACACACUAGACAUGGCUCUGCCCUCACGGGGCUUUUCUAAUACCACAGUUCAGUAGAUGAUGAUAUCCUUACUGGACCAGACACACAACCAACUUCAUUUACUCCAGAAUUGGGCUCCACAGUUGCAGCUGUCCUGGGAAGCACAUAGGCUCAGAUUCCAUACCCUGAGUGGUAAGGUCUUGAGCAUUUUGGCUCUUAAUCACUCACUGAAGUAGAAAGAAUCCACCUCCAUGCCCAAGCACUGAGUCCCUGGUGUCAAGCCCGAGUGACCAACUGAGAAUGCACUUGCCCUUCAGAAUUUUCAUAGAUUAGUGGAAGAAACUGCUGCUAACCCAUAAAGGGGGAGAGGAGAGGAUCAUCUUAUGGCAACCUUUGGGUUUACACAACGAAAUAGAAGCCACUCAAGAAAGCCUUCACAGAGCAAUUGAGACUAGUGAAUCAUCAUCCCCAAUUGACUCCCUGCCUCUGCCUAGAGAAAAAGAAAAAGUGGCUAAGAUAAUUGAAACAAUAACCUGCCAUCAGAUUUGGGAGAGGGACAGGGAUAAAACUCACUGCU
rnacentral:lncRNA from 1 species